rnacentral:rRNA from 1 species
GACGGAGGAUGCAAGUGUUAUCCGGAAUUACUGGGCGUAAAGCGUGCGCAGGCGGUUUUUUAAGCUUGAUGUGAAAUCCCCGGGCUUAACCUGGGGACUGCAUUGAGGACUGGAAGGCUAGAGUACGGCAGAGGGGGGUGGAAUUCCACGUGUAGCAGUGAAAUGCGUAGAGAUGUGGAGGAACACCGAUGGCGAAGGCAGCCCCCUGGGCCUGUACUGACGCUCAUGCACGAAAGCGUGGGGAGCAAACAGG